AUUGUUGGACAGCUAAAAAAAUUGCCCUCUGGACUGUUCCAUGCAUUCAUGUUUAUUGCUGUUUGCUUAUUUCCUGCGUAAUUGCAUGCCUUUAUGGUAGCAUAUGUUAAUGCAUCUGCAAGUUUAAAAUUUUGAUUUUUAUUUAUCAUUUGUUAUACUCACUGUUUUGAACGUUAACCAUGGUGGCUUCUAUGGUUACAUUGCUUUCAACAAAGUAGAAUUGCUUUGCUUCACAAAAAUUUUCAUGUUAACUAAUUUUAUGUAAAGUU
rnacentral:misc_RNA from 1 species